GACGAACGCUGGCGGCGUGCUUAACACAUGCAAGUCGAGCGGUAAGGCUCCUUCGGGAGUACACGAGCGGCGAACGGGUGAGUAACACGUGAGCAAUCUGCCCUUCACAUGGGAAUAACUUCGGGAAACCGAAGCUAAUACCGAAUACGACCACCGAUGGCAUCUUCUGGUGGUGGAAAGUUCCGCGGUGAAGGAUGAGCUCGCGGCCUAUCAGCUUGUUGGUGAGGUAAAU
rnacentral:rRNA from 1 species